AGCCGCGCCCGCGCCGCCGCCGCCGCGCCUGGGCUGCUCCCGCCAUGCGGCUCUGGGUGCUCCUCAGCCUGCUGCUGCUGCAGGAAGCGCUGCCACACGUUAUUGGACAGCCUGCAAAGAGUAAGCGUCCCAAAGAACCUGGAGAAAACAAAAUUAAGCCUGUUAACAAGAAAGUAAAACCAAAGACCCCCAAAACAAAGGAGAGAGAAUCUGUGGACUCCUCUUUGAAGUCCCAGUCCAUACUGACACAGGUGAUGGAUAAAGGUAAUUUCCAGAAACUAGCUGCCACCUUAAGUCUGGCUGCAGGACAAAGCGUAGAACUACGAUGCAAGGGGAGUAAUGUUACUUGGAACUAUCCUACUUAUUUAGACACCUUUAAAGACUCCAGACUCAGCAUAAAGCAGCUUGACAGGUAUAGUCAGCUGAUCCUUGCAAACUCCACUGCGGCAGACACAGGUGAAUACAGCUGCUGGCUUCAGCUGUGCGAUGGUAACAAAUGCAGGAAGGAUGAGACUAAAACAGGGUCAACAUACAUCUUUUUCACAGACAAAGAGGAACUUUUUGUACCUACUCCCAGUUAUUUUGAGAUUGUCUACUUGAACCCAGAUAAACCCGCAGUCAUCCCAUGCCGUGUCACUACUCCUUCAGCAAAAGUGACUCUUCACAGGGAAUUUCCAGCAGAAGAAAUUGAAACAGAUGGAACUGAUAUAAUUUAUGAUGCAAAGAAGGGUUUUGUCUUCCAGCACCCUACUUCUGAUCAUAAAGGUAUUGUCUACUGCAAAGCAGAGUCACGGGGAGCACCUCAGAUUUCCAUCAGAUAUCACCUACUGUACGUGGAAGUUCCCAAGGGCCCGCCCUCAACCUCAAUUGCGGUGUCAUCCAGUAGGGCUGGGCUCAGUGACAGGGUUCAUGUGGUCUGCACAGUCCUCGGGGAGCCAGAUGUGGAUGUGAACUUCAGGUGGCAGUAUCCAGGGCAAGAGGAGAAAAGGAAAGAUAUUUUCAUUUACACAGAGCUAUACCUGGAUAAAUAAGCCACUGCUUCUCUCAGCCUGGGUUCAGUUAACCAGUACAAGGAAAGAACUUGCCAGAGGAGAAGGUCUCAAGACUGAUACAGAAGCAGUGCCUCUAAGGAAGAAUUUUGCUGGGUGUCAUGUCCUGUCCAUCCUUUCUGUCCUUGUCCUCCCACCAAGAUCAAAAUAAUUCUUGUAAUUGAAAGCUAUGAGAAUUCUUUUACUAUGUAUUUUACAUAGUUUUUAUUUUACCAAAAGCCUCCUGGGCAGAGCUGAUGUUACAUUGCCACAGUUAAUUGCACAUUUCUACCUAAAGGAAUGGUGACAGGGUAAGAGAAUGAAGCCCUGGCAAUGAAAUGUAAGUGACUUGUCAAAGUUACAUGCCUAAAGCUGCCAGUGCUAUUAUUUCCAUUUCCAUACCUGUGUCACUGCUCUUCUAAGGCCAAGGCAGCAGCAAUGGUCAGAAGGUAAUUUUUUCUUAAGGGUUCAGUGGUUAUCCCAACUUUAUGAUGACCUUUUUAGCUGCAGCUCAGCCCUAAAUGAUUUCCUGGCUGUUGGACAAGAUCAGUGGAUGGUUACUGUCUAGAAGGAAUUUCCUGCAUGAAUCGCAUGAUACCAGUUUACAUGGAAGUGUCUUUGGUGUUAGUAAUGAGAAACAUCAAGGCUUUAGUUAGCUCAAGGAAAUGAUUCACCUCAAAUUUUAUAGAAAAUACAGUGCAAUCCAUACAAUGAUCUUUUGAGAAAAGUAUUGAAGGUGAACCAUAGUAUGGUUUGCAACAAACUGUACGGUACAGCUGUUAAAUGUCACUGUAGCUUCCUCUGAAACUUAGCAUGAGUUGGAACUGAGAGUAAAGGUGCAUAUCUGAAGAAAAUCACUUGUUCAAUUGCUUGACCUUUAGCUUAAGAUGAUGGUAAGCAGGUUUCUAGAUUUUCCUGAAGGAAACCUUAUGCUAAAGAAAAAAAUCUCAAAAUAUGUAAAAGUUACUGGAUUGAACAAAGCCUUUACUAAUACACGGUACUUAAAGCUCAGAGAAACUCAGAGAAAAACAUUGAAACAGUAAUUACAGAUCAGCAGAAUUAUUUAAUUUGUUGAGACCAACAGGACGAACACUAAACAGGUAUUUCUGUAAUCUGAUUUCUACAUACAAGCAGUCUUCAUUUCUUCAUAAAAGCCUUAAAGACUCUACUUGCAAGCAGUUUAGCCAUGAAGAGUCUCCUGCAUUGUAGAGAUAAAUUAUGAACAGAUUAACAGUCUCUGUAUUAUCCACUCUACCAUACUUACUUUUCUGUAUGGUAGCCUAGAAGAGCUUUCCUUGCUUUUGCUACAGGAAGGGCUAUAAAAUAUUUGACCUUCAAACAUUUUUGUGCACUCUGCUUUGCAUGUUUCAUUCAGGACAUUACACUGCAACUAAAGUAAUAAAGUUCUUACUGGUGGCUAGGUAAGUGUCCUUGUGACAGGAC